UGCGUAGGCGGAAUAUUAAGUCAGUGGUGAAAUCCUGCGGCUCAACCGUAGAACUGCCAUUGAUACUGAUAUUCUUGAAUGUAGUUGAGGUAGGCGGAAUGUGUAAUGUAGCGGUGAAAUGCUUAGAUAUUACACAGAACACCGAUUGCGAAGGCAGCUUACUAAACUAUGAUUGACGCUGAGGCACGAAAGCGUGGGGAGCGAACAGGAUUAGAUACCCGGGUAGUCC
rnacentral:rRNA from 1 species